UGAUCCUGCUCAGGAUGAACGCUAGCGCAGCCUAACACAUGCAAGUCGAGGGCAGCGGGAGUGCUGCACUCGCCGGCGACCGGCGCACGGGUGCGGAACGCGUAUCGAAUCUGCCUCUAUCUGGGGGAUACCCCAUGGAAACGUGGAAUAAUACCCCAUAGUAUUACUUUAUCGCAUGAUUUAGUAAUUAAAGAAUUUCGGAUAGAGAUGACGAUGCGUAUCAUUAGCUAGUAGGUAAGGUAACGGCUUACCUAGGCAACGAUGAUUAGGGGUCCUGAGAGGGAGAUCCCCCACACUGGUACUGAGACACGGACCAGACUCCUACGGGAGGCAGCAGUGAGGAAUAUUGGACAAUGGUCGAAAGACUGAUCCAGCCAUGCCGCGUGCAGGAUGACUGCCCUAUGGGUUGUAAACUGCUUUUAUACGGGAAGAAAAACACCUACGUGUAGGUGACUGACGGUACCGUAAGAAUAAGGACCGGCUAACUCCGUGCCAGCAGCCGCGGUAAUACGGAGGGUCCAAGCGUUAUCCGGAAUCAUUGGGUUUAAAGGGUCCGUAGGCGGGCUAUUAAGUCAGAGGUGAAAGUUUGCAGCUCAACUGUAAAAUUGCCUUUGAUACUGAUAGUCUUGAAUUGUAGUGAAGUGGUUAGAAUAUGUGGUGUAGCGGUGAAAUGCAUAGAUAUCACAUAGAAUACCGAUUGCGAAGGCAGAUCACUAACUAUAUAUUGACGCUGAGAGACGAAAGCGUGGGGAGCGAACGGGAUUAGAUACCCCGGUAGU
rnacentral:rRNA from 1 species